AACGCUGGCGGCGUGCCUAAUACAUGCAAGUCGAGCGAACAGACGAGGAGCUUGCUCCUUUGACGUUAGCGGCGGACGGGUGAGUAACACGUGGAUAACCUACCUAUAAGACUGGGAUAACUUCGGGAAACCGGAGCUAAUACCGGAUAACAUGUUGAACCGCAUGGUUCAACAGUGAAAGACGGUCUUGCUGUCACUUAUAGAUGGAUCCGCGCCGCAUUAGCUAGUUGGUAAGGUAACGGCUUACCAAGGCAACGAUGCGUAGCCGACCUGAGAGGGUGAUCGGCCACACUGGAACUGAGACACGGUCCAGACUCCUACGGGAGGCAGCAGUAGGGAAGCUUCCGCAAUGGGCGAAAGCCUGACGGAGCAACGCCGCGUGAGUGAAGAAGGUCUUCGGAUCGUAAAACUCUGUUAUUAGGGAAGAACAAAUGUGUAAGUAACUAUGCACGUCUUGACGGUACCUAAUCAGAAAGCCACGGCUAACUACGUGCCAGCAGCCGCGGUAAUACGUAGGUGGCAAGCGUUAUCCGGAAUUAUUGGGCGUAAAGCGCGCGUAGGCGGUUUUUUAAGUCUGAUGUGAAAGCCCACGGCUCAACCGUGGAGGGUCAUUGGAAACUGGAAAACUUGAGUGCAGAAGAGGAAAGUGGAAUUCCCAUGUGUAGCGGUGAAAUGCGCAGAGAUAUGGAGGAACACCAGUGGCGAAGGCGACUUUCUGGUCUGUAACUGACGCUGAUGUGCGAAAGCGUGGGGAUCAAACAGGAUUAGAUACCCUGGUAGUCCACGCCGUAAACGAUGAGUGCUAAGUGUUAGGGGGUUUCCGCCCCUUAGUGCUGCAGCUAACGCAUUAAGCACUCCGCCUGGGGAGUACGACCGCAAGGUUGAAACUCAAAGGAAUUGACGGGGACCCGCACAAGCGGUGGAGCAUGUGGUUUAAUUCGAAGCAACGCGAAGAACCUUACCAAAUCUUGACAUCCUCUGACCCCUCUAGAGAUAGAGUUUUCCCCUUCGGGGGACAGAGUGACAGGUGGUGCAUGGUUGUCGUCAGCUCGUGUCGUGAGAUGUUGGGUUAAGUCCCGCAACGAGCGCAACCCUUAAGCUUAGUUGCCAUCAUUAAGUUGGGCACUCUAAGUUGACUGCCGGUGACAAACCGGAGGAAGGUGGGGAUGACGUCAAAUCAUCAUGCCCCUUAUGAUUUGGGCUACACACGUGCUACAAUGGACAAUACAAAGGGUAGCGAAACCGCGAGGUCAAGCAAAUCCCAUAAAGUUGUUCUCAGUUCGGAUUGUAGUCUGCAACUCGACUACAUGAAGCUGGAAUCGCUAGUAAUCGUGGAUCAGCAUGCUACGGUGAAUACGUUCCCGGGUCUUGUACACACCGCCCGUCACACCACGAGAGUUUGUAACACCCGAAGCCGGUGGAGUAACCUUUUGGAGCUAGCCGUCGAAGGUGGGACAAAUGA
rnacentral:rRNA from 1 species